CGUUAUCCGGAUUUAUUGGGCGUAAAGCGCGUGCAGGCGGUCUGGUAAGUUGGAUGUGAAAGCUCCUGGCUUAACUGGGAGAGGUCGUUCAAAACUGCUAGACUAGAGAAUGGGAGAGGGAGGUGGAAUUCCGGGUGUAGUGGUGAAAUGCGUAGAUAUCCGGAGGCACACCAGUGGCGAAAGCGGCCUCCUAGACCAUUUCUGACGCUAAGACGCGAGAGCUAGGGUAGC
rnacentral:rRNA from 1 species